rnacentral:lncRNA from 1 species
AUUUUUGAGGAGCAGUACCUUAAAGUGGUUAAGAACCUUUGCUUUGGUGUCAAACUCUUUUGCUAUUCAUUUGCUUUGUUUCCUUGAGCAAGUUAACUUUGUUACCUCACCUGCAAAAUAUGAAUGAUGAUAAUCAUACCUCCCUCAUGCGAUUAUGUUAGGAUUUUUAAGAGAUAGGACAUACACAAACAACACAAUGGGCAGCAUUUAGUAGCUAAAUGGUUUUAGUUCUAGAAUGUUUGUUUUUUCAGCAGUUUUUUUUCUUUAUGCAAAAUCAGCACCGUAGAAGACAGGCAUUUAUUUUUUAAAUGUAGUUAAGGUAAAUAACUCACUAAUUUUCUCCUUUUACCAAAAUUUACAGUAGUGAAAAUGCUAAAAGACUUAGAUAUAAAAUUUAGCGUAUUAGUAAUCAGGAAUUGAAUAAGUUUGUAUGCAGUUAUCUUGGUUUACUUACUUUUUUCUUUAGAGUGAACCAGAGGAAAUGCCUCCAGAAGCAAAGAUGAGGAUGAAGAAUAUUGGAAGGGAUACACCAACAUCAGCUGGACCAAACUCCUUCAAUAAAGGAAAGCAUGGGUUUUCUGAUAACCAGAAGCUGUGGGAGCGAAAUAUAAAAUCUCAUCUUGGAAAUGUCCAUGACCAAGACAAUUAAAUGAUGUUUUGAAAUUGGGGUGUGGGGUGGGUGUAAAGUUAAAAGGAACAGUUUCCUUUUUUAAAGAAUGGUAUAAGACUAUCUUUGGAGCCGCUUUUUUUUUCUUUUUCAUUUUUUUAAAA